CCGGCGCACGGGUGCGUAACGCGUAUGCAAUCUACCUUUUACAGGGGAAUAGCCCAGAGAAAUUUGGAUUAAUGCCCCAUAGUAUAUAUCAUUCGCAUGUUUGAUAUAUUAAAGUUCCAACGGUAAAAGAUGAGCAUGCGUCCCAUUAGUUAGUUGGUAAGGUAACGGCUUACCAAGACGAUGAUGGGUAGGGGUCCUGAGAGGGAGAUCCCCCACACUGGUACUGAGACACGGACCAG
rnacentral:rRNA from 1 species